rnacentral:rRNA from 1 species
GAUGAACGCUGGCGGCGUGCCUAAUACAUGCAAGUCGAGCGAACGGACGAGAAGCUUGCUUUUCUGAUGUUAGCGGCGGACGGGUGAGUAACACGUGGAUAACCUACCUAUAAGACUGGGAUAACUUCGGGAAACCGGAGCUAAUACCGGAUAAUAUUUUGAACCGCAUGGUUCAAAAGUGAAAGACGGUCUUGCUGUCACUUAUAGAUGGAUCCGCGCUGCAUUAGCUAGUUGGUAAGGUAACGGCUUACCAAGGCAACGAUGCAUAGCCGACCUGAGAGGGUGAUCGGCCACACUGGAACUGAGACACGGUCCAGACUCCUACGGGAGGCAGCAGUAGGGAAUCUUCCGCAAUGGGCGAAAGCCUGACGGAGCAACGCCGCGUGAGUGAUGAAGGUCUUCGGAUCGUAAAACUCUGUUAUUAGGGAAGAACAUAUGUGUAAGUAACUGUGCACAUCUUGACGGUACCUAAUCAGAAAGCCACGGCUAACUACGUGCCAGCAGCCGCGGUAAUACGUAGGUGGCAAGCGUUAUCCGGAAUUAUUGGGCGUAAAGCGCGCGUAGGCGGUUUUUUAAGUCUGAUGUGAAAGCCCACGGCUCAACCGUGGAGGGUCAUUGGAAACUGGAAAACUUGAGUGCAGAAGAGGAAAGUGGAAUUCCAUGCGUAGCGGUGAAAUGCGCAGAGAUGUGGAGGAACACCAGUGGCGAAGGCGACUUUCUGGUCUGUAACUGACGCUGAUGUGCGAAAGCGUGGGGAUCAAACAGGAUUAGAUACCCUGGUAGUCCACGCCGUAAACGAUGAGUGCUAAGUGUUAGGGGGUUUCCGCCCCUUAGUGCUGCAGCUAACGCAUUAAGCACUCCGCCUGGGGAGUACGACCGCAAGGUUGAAACUCAAAGGAAUUGACGGGGGCCCGCACAAGCGGUGGAGCAUGUGGUUUAAUUCGAAGCAACGCGAAGAACCUUACCAAAUCUUGACAUCCUUUGACAACUCUAGAGAUAGAGCCUUCCCCUUCGGGGGACAAAGUGACAGGUGGUGCAUGGUUGUCGUCAGCUCGUGUCGUGAGAUGUUGGGUUAAGUCCCGCAACGAGCGCAACCCUUAAGCUUAGUUGCCAUCAUUAAGUUGGGCACUCUAAGUUGACUGCCGGUGACAAACCGGAGGAAGGUGGGGAUGACGUCAAAUCAUCAUGCCCCUUAUGAUUUGGGCUACACACGUGCUACAAUGGACAAUACAAAGGGCAGCGAAACCGCGAGGUCAAGCAAAUCCCAUAAAGUUGUUCUCAGUUCGGAUUGUAGUCUGCAACUCGACUACAUGAAGCUGGAAUCGCUAGUAAUCGUAGAUCAGCAUGCUACGGUGAAUACGUUCCCGGGUCU